rnacentral:rRNA from 1 species
GGCCUAACACAUGCAAGUCGAGGGGUAUAUUUCUUCGGAGAUAGAGACCGGCGCACGGGUGCGUAACGCGUAUGCAAUCUGCCUUUCACAGAGGGAUAGCCCAGAGAAAUUUGGAUUAAUACCUCAUAGUAUUACAGGAUGGCAUCGUCCAGUAAUUAAAGUCACAACGGUGAAAGAUGAGCAUGCGUCCCAUUAGCUAGUUGGUAAGGUAACGGCUUACCAAGGCAACGAUGGGUAGGGGUCCUGAGAGGGAGAUCCCCCACACUGGUACUGAGACACGGACCAGACUCCUACGGGAGGCAGCAGUAAGGAAUAUUGGUCAAUGGAGGCAACUCUGAACCAGCCAUGCCGCGUGCAGGAAGACUGCCCUAUGGGUUGUAAACUGCUUUUAUCCGGGAAUAAACCUUUCUACGUGUAGGAAGCUGAAUGUACCGGAAGAAUAAGGAUCGG